rnacentral:rRNA from 1 species
GCGCACCAGUCGCGAAAACUCCACAAUGUGGGAAACCACGAUGGGGGAACUCCCAGUGCGCACACUUUGUGUGCGCUGUUCUCCUGCCUAAAAAGCAGGAGAAGUAAGGGCCGGGGAAGACGGGUGCCAGCCGCCGCGGUAAUACCCGCGGCCCGAGUGGUGCUCAUUAUUAUUGAGUCUAAAACGUCCGUAGCCGGUCGGGGAGAUUCCUGGGUAAAUCGAACCGCUCAACGGCGCGAAUUCCGGGGAGACCGCCCGACUAGUGACCGGGAGAGGCGUGAGGUACUCCUGGGGUAGGGGUAAAAUCCUGUAAUCCUUGGGGGACCACCGGUGGCGAAGGCGUCCCACUGGAACGGCCCUGACGGUGAGGAACGAAACCUAGUGGAGCGAGCCGGAUUAGAUACCCGCGUAGUCC